GAUGAACGCUGGCGGCGUGCCUAAUACAUGCAGGUCGAGCGAACGGACGAGAAGCUUGCUUCUCUGAUGUUAGCGGCGGACGGGUGAGUAACACGUGGAUAACCUACCUAUAAGACUGGGAUAACUUCGGGAAACCGGAGCUAAUACCGGAUAAUAUUUUGAACCGCAUGGUUCAAAAGUGAAAGACGGUCUUUCUGUCACUUAUAGAUGGAUCCGCGCUGCAUUAGCUAGUUGUUAAGGUAACGGCUUACCAAGGCAACGAUGCAUAGCCGACGUGAGAGGGUGGUCGGCCACACUGGAACGGAGACACGGUCCAUAGUCCUACGGGAGGCAGCAGUAGGGAAUCUGCCGCAAUAGGCGAAAGCCUGACGGAGCGACGCCGCGUGAGUGAUGAAGGUCUUCGGAUCGUAAAACUCUGUUAUUAGGGAAGAACAUAUGUGUAAGUAACUGUGCACAUCUUGACGGUACCUAAUCAGAAAGCCACGGCUAACUACGUG
rnacentral:rRNA from 1 species